UACGAAGGGGGCUAGCGUUGUUCGGAAUUACUGGGCGUAAAGCGCACGUAGGCGGAUUGUUAAGUCAGAUGUGAAAGCCCCGGGCUUAACCUGGGAACUGCGUUUGAAACUGGGAGACUUGAGUGUGGCAGAGGGGGGUGGAAUUCCACGUGUAGCAGUGAAAUGCGUAGAGAUGUGGAGGAACACCGAUGGCGAAGGCAGCCCCCUGGGUCAACACUGACGCUCAUGCACGAAAGCGUGGGGAGCAAACAGG
rnacentral:rRNA from 1 species